rnacentral:rRNA from 1 species
AACGAACGCUGGCGGCAGGCUUAACACAUGCAAGUCGAGCGCCCCGCAAGGGGAGCGGCAGACGGGUGAGUAACGCGUGGGAAUCUACCCAUCUCUACGGAAUAACGCAUGGAAACGUGUGCUAAUACCGUAUACGUCCUUCGGGAGAAAGAUCUAUCGGAGAUGGAUGAGCCCGCGUUGGAUUAGCUCGUUGGUGGGGUAAAGGCCUACCAAGGCGACGAUCCAUAGCUGGUCUGAGAGGAUGAUCAGCCACACUGGGACUGAGACACGGCCCAGACUCCUACGGGAGGCAGCAGUGGGGAAUAUUGGACAAUGGGCGCAAGCCUGAUCCAGCCAUGCCGCGUGAGUGAUGAAGGCCCUAGGGUUGUAAAGCUCUUUCACCGGUGAAGAUAAUGACGGUAACCGGAGAAGAAGCCCCGGCUAACUUCGUGCCAGCCGCCGCGGUAACAC